GUCAUCGGGAGCUGCUACAUCGAUGGUAGCGCGUACAUCCUUUGAAAAGAGAUAGAAGAUGCUAGCGAGGAGAGAGACAUACACAUUUGUAUUGGGGUAAGGAUUAGCAAUGGAAUAGUACGCGUUUACUACCGCGCCAUAUAUUUGGGUGACAAUGAGUCGAGCGUCCAGUUGUGAUUGCGCAGGCACUCGGGAAGUAGUGUUUCGUUUGAUCUACAUAUUUUUAAAAAGUGCUCGACAAUCGGUAGCUACCGAGAGACCCGUAUCAUUGGAGAUUUCGUGAAUUCCGUAACUCGGAGAUUUUUCCACAAUCACUGCCAAUCACGAACAUCCGAUCGGGGCCAUAUAAUUUGGUACAUGGUCAACGGAGUACACAGGUGUUGAAGUUUUUCCGUCUUGGAUUCGACGGCAGUUCGGCUUCGGCGAUAGGAGCGGCGACAUCAGGAGCAACAUCAGUAGCAAAGCAGGUUCCUCAAAGCGACGAUGGAGAGAGAGAACGAUGACCAUUGUGUGAUGGAAGCAAAUCAGGACAUCAACGAGUCUCUCCAAAGAUCGACUCUUCUUCAUCCUGUUCUAGUGGAGAUGGAUCUGCAACACACGAGACGUACAACUCCUUUUUUUUUUUGCGGAGGUAUGUUUCAUUUAAUUUAUCCUUUUCGAGAGUCCCUAGUAUAAUCCAACAUUUAGAGUCUUGGUACAUGAAUUGCACCCCCUUAGAAAAGAUUUUCAAGAUCCUCCUCAUAAAAUCAGGUCACCCAGCAUUACCCAAAAGACUUGGUAAAUUCAUACACCCCCCCAUAAUAAAAUUCAUCAGACACGCCAAUAAGGCAAGACAAUAAUUUAUUAUCACAUAACUUGGUACAAUUUAUUAUAAUUCAAAUGUCAUAUACUGAUCAUAAAAUAAGUCAUACAUUAGGUAAGUUAUAUAAUCAGUUAACUAAUUGUUUAUUUGUUAUUCAUGUUACAGGUCGCAUAUCCUCCAACUUAUGACCCCCUGGACUUCCCCUGUUCAUCAGGGGGAGUUCAGGGACCCGUCCCCUGGGACUGCGCGGCCUCCCACCGCCCCCGGGGUCCCAGGGGACCCAGUCCCUGAGGACAUGUCCU